UACGAAGGGGGCUAGCGUUGCUCGGAAUUACUGGGCGUAAAGCGUGCGCAGGCGGUUUGUUAAGUCUGUUGUGAAAUCCCCGAGCUCAACUUGGGAAUUGCAAUGGAUACUGGCAGGCUGGAGUAUGGUAGAGGAAGGUGGAAUUCCCGGUGUAGCAGUGAAAUGCGUAGAGAUCGGGAGGAACACCAGUGGCGAAGGCGGCCUUCUGGACCAAUACUGACGCUCAUGCACGAAAGCGUGGGGAGCAAACAGG
rnacentral:rRNA from 1 species